rnacentral:tRNA from 1 species
GCGAGGAUGGCGGAAUUGGCAGACGCGCCAGACUUAGGAUCUGGUCCUAUCGGGUGUGGGUUCAAGUCCCACUCCUAGCACCA